rnacentral:rRNA from 1 species
AAUGAACGCUGGCGGCGCGCCUAAUACAUGCAAGUCGAGCGAGAAGACGUAGCAAUACGUUUGUAAAGCGGCGAACGGGUGAGGAAUACAUGGGUAACCUACCCUCGAGUGGGGAAUAACUAGCCGAAAGGUUAGCUAAUACCGCGUACGCUUCUUGGACUUCGGUUCAGGGAGGAAAGCGAUGCCGAGGGUAUCGCGCUCUUGGAUGGGCUCGUGUCCCAUCAGCUUGUUGGUGAGGUAACGGCGUCACCAACGGACGUUC